CCAAGCACAAAACCUCUCUGUGUAUCUUCUCUGUACUACUCUGAACAUUGUCGCCCACUGAAGCUAAGCAGGGCAGCACCCAGUCAGUACCUGGAUGGGAGACCACAUGGAAAAGCUAGGUUGCUGCCGGAA
rnacentral:rRNA from 1 species